rnacentral:rRNA from 1 species
UGGGGAAUCUUGGACAAUGGGGGCAACCCUGAUCCAGCCAUGCCGCGUGAGUGAAGACGGCCUUCGGGUUGUAAAGCUCUUUCGCACGUGACGAUGAUGACGGUAACGUGAUAAGAAGCACCGGCUAACUUCGUGCCAGCAGCCGCGGUAAUACGAAGGGUGCAAGCGUUGUUCGGAUUUACUGGGCGUAAAGCGCAUGUAGGCUGCACGCCAAGUCAGAGGUGAAAUCCCAAGGCUCAACCUUGGAACUGCCUUUGAUACUGGCAAGCUAGAGUUUGAUAGAGGAUAUCGGAAUUCCCAGUGUAGGAGUGAAAUCCGUAGAUAUUGGGAGGAACACCAGUGGCGAAAGCGGAUAUCUGGGUCAUAACUGACGCUGAGAUGCGAAAGCGUGGGGAGCAAACA